rnacentral:rRNA from 1 species
CAGUAGCCGCGUAACACGGAGGGUGCAAGCGUUAAUCGGAAUUACUGGGCGUAAAGCGCACGCAGGCGGUCUGUCAAGUCGGAUGUGAAAUCCCCGGGCUCAACCUGGGAACUGCAUUCGAAACUGGCAGGCUAGAGUCUUGUAGAGGGGGGUAGAAUUCCAGGUGUAGCGGUGAAAUGCGUAGAGAUCUGGAGGAAUACCGGUGGCGAAGGCGGCCCCCUGGACAAAGACUGACGCUCAGGUGCGAAAGCGUGGGGAGCAAACAGGAUUAGAUACCCCAGUAGUCCCUGUCUCUUAUACA